rnacentral:rRNA from 1 species
AGGGAAUCUUCCGCAAUGGGCGAAAGCCUGACGGAGCAACGCCGCGUGAGUGAUGAAGGUCUUCGGAUCGUAAAACUCUGUUAUUAGGGAAGAACAAAUGUGUAAGUAACUAUGCACGUCUUGACGGUACCUAAUCAGAAAGCCACGGCUAACUACGUGCCAGCAGCCGCGGUAAUACGUAGGUGGCAAGCGUUAUCCGGAAUUAUUGGGCGUAAAGCGCGCGUAGGCGGUUUUUUAAGUCUGAUGUGAAAGCCCACGGCUCAACCGUGGAGGGUCAUUGGAAACUGGAAAACUUGAGUGCAGAAGAGGAAAGUGGAAUUCCAUGUGUAGCGGUGAAAUGCGCAGAGAUAUGGAGGAACACCAGUGGCGAAGGCGACUUUCUGGUCUGUAACUGACGCUGAUGUGCGAAAGCGUGGGGAUCAAACAGGAUUAGAUACCCUGGUAGUCCACGUCGUAAACGAUGAGUGCUAAGUGUUAGGGGGUUUCCGCCCCUUAGUGCUGCAGCUAACGCAUUAAGCACUCCGCCUGGGGAGUACGACCGCAAGGUUG